rnacentral:rRNA from 1 species
UACGGAGGGUGCUAGCGUUGUUCGGAAUUACUGGGCGUAAAGGGCGCGUAGGCGGCCGUUUGCGUCGGAUUUGAAAGCCCGGGGCUCAACCUCGGAACGGCAUUCGAUACGGGACGGCUGGAGACCGGGAGAGGAGAGUGGAAUAGCCAGUGUAGAGGUGAAAUUCGUAGAUAUUGGCUGGAACACCGGUGGCGAAAGCGGCUCUCUGGCCCGGUUCUGACGCUGAGGCGCGAAAGCGUGGGGAGCAAACACG